UGCAAUACCAAUUANGUUGGUGCCUGUUUUAAUNCAGGUGAAAAGGGAAUGCGAGAGUGCAAAUUAAAAAAGCAUAAAUCGCAGCCGCCCUCGCGACCGUGACCAAAUUGAAGUACUAUUGCCACUGAUUAAUAAUUGGGAAGGCUGUACUUCNGGGGAUAUCCCCAAUUUGCAAGCCGGGAGACCUGCCAACUUAGGACCAACACGG
rnacentral:ncRNA from 16 species